UGGGGAAUAUUGGACAAUGGGGGCAACCCUGAUCCAGCAAUGCCGCGUGUGUGAAGAAGGUCUUCGGAUUGUAAAGCACUUUCGACGGGGACGAUGAUGACGGUACCCGUAGAAGAAGCCCCGGCUAACUUCGUGCCAGCAGCCGCGGUAAUACGAAGGGGGCUAGCGUUGCUCGGAAUGACUGGGCGUAAAGGGCGUGUAGGCGGUUUACACAGUCAGAUGUGAAAUCCCCGGGCUUAACCUGGGAGCUGCAUUUGAUACGUGUAGACUAGAGUGUGAGAGAGGGUUGUGGAAUUCCCAGUGUAGAGGUGAAAUUCGUAGAUAUUGGGAAGAACACCGGUGGCGAAGGCGGCAACCUGGCUCAUGACUGACGCUGAGGCGCGAAAGCGUGGGGAGCAAACAGGAUUAGGAUACCCUGGUAGUCCACGCUGUAAACGAUGUGUGCUAGAUGUUGGGUAACUUUGUUAUUCAGUGUCGCAGUUAACGCGUUAAGCACACCGCCUGGGGAGUACG
rnacentral:rRNA from 1 species